UACAGGGGAUGCAAGUGUUAUCCGGAAUUAUUGGGCGUAAAGAGCUCGUAGGCGGUUUGUCGCGUCUGCUGUGAAAACCCGAGGCUCAACCUCGGGCCUGCAGUGGGUACGGGCAGACUAGAGUGCGGUAGGGGAGAUUGGAAUUCCUGGUGUAGCGGUGGAAUGCGCAGAUAUCAGGAGGAACACCGAUGGCGAAAGCAGAUCUCUGGGCCGUAACUGACGCUGAGGAGCGAAAGCAUGGGGAGCGAACAGG
rnacentral:rRNA from 1 species